UGCACAGUUGAGAAUUUGUCUCAUUUGCCGC
rnacentral:piRNA from 1 species